GUGUCAGCAGCCGCGGUAAUACGGAGGGUGCGAGCGUUGUCCGGAAUCACUGGGCGUAAAGGGCGCGUAGGCGGCCCGCGCAAGCGUGCGGUGAAAGCCCGGGGCUCAACCCCGGGUCGGCCGUGCGGACUGCGGGGCUCGAGCACUGUAGGGGCAGAUGGAAUUCCGGGUGUAGCGGUGGAAUGCGUAGAGAUCCGGAAGAACACCGGUGGCGAAGGCGGUCUGCUGGGCAGUAGCUGACGCUGAGGCGCGACAGCGUGGGGAGCAAACAGGAUUAGAAACCCUUGUAGUCC
rnacentral:rRNA from 1 species